UACGUAGGGUGCAAGCGUUGUCCGGAAUUAUUGGGCGUAAAGAGCUCGUAGGCGGUCUGUCGCGUCGGCUGUGAAAUCCCGAGGCUCAACCUCGGGCUUGCAGUGGGUACGGGCAGACUAGAGUGCGGUAGGGGUGACUGGAAUUCCUGGUGUAGCGGUGGAAUGCGCAGAUAUCAGGAGGAACACCGAUGGCGAAGGCAGGUCACUGGGCCGCAACUGACGCUGAGGAGCGAAAGCAUGGGGAGCGAACAGG
rnacentral:rRNA from 1 species